GGAGUAGUGGGCUAGUGGUGAGAUUCUCGCUUUGGGUGCGAGAGGUCCGCGAUUCGAUCCCCGGCUGGGCCC